rnacentral:rRNA from 1 species
GGACGGGUGAGUAAUGUCUGGGAAACUGCCUGAUGGAGGGGGAUAACUACUGGAAACGGUAGCUAAUACCGCAUAACGUCGCAAGACCAAAGAGGGGGACCUUCGGGCCUCUUGCCAUCGGAUGUGCCCAGAUGGGAUUAGCUAGUAGGUGGGGUAACGGCUCACCUAGGUGACGAUCCCUAGCUGGUCUGAGAGGAUGACCAGCCACACUGGAACUGAGACACGGUCCAGACUCCUACGGGAGGCAGCAUG